AUACACUGAAAAAGGAAGGGAGAACUGGAUAUUGGGCAGUGUGAAUAUCAAUUACGUAUGGCAAGGAGGAGAUUGAAUGCAGACACUAAUAUUCAGAGGUGAGUAUUCUUACCUGCUGUUAAAGCUGGGUAGCCUCCCACUUUGGGAGGCCAAGGUGGGUGGAUCACCUGAGAACGGGCUCCUGUAAUGGACACCUGUAGAGUAGCUGGGAGUUCGAGACCAGCCUGGCCAACAUGGUGAAACCCCGUGUCUACUAAAAAUACAAAAAUCAGCCAGGAAUGGUGGCACAGGUCUGUAGUCCCAGCUACUUGGGAGGCUGAGGCAGAAGAAUCGCUUGAACCCAGGAGGCAGGGGUUGUAGUGAGCCGAGAUCGUGCCACUGCACUCCAGCCUGGGUGACAGAGCAAGACUCUGUCUCAAAAAAAAAAAAAAAAAAAAAAAAGCUGGGGAGCCUGGCUGCUUCAAAAUUAAUUACAACAUUUUAACAGAAAGCCCCCACCCCCACGACACUCACACACACAAUUUCACAUGUUAUAUUUGUUACCUGAAAAAAACAGGGUUCGGUUCACCGAAGUGAGUGGCAAAUGACUCUCCAUGAGAACGUAGGGUUUGUGUAGUUGUUGCUGUUGCUGUUGUUUUAUUUAAUAGAAAUAAGGUCUCGCUGUGUUGUCCAGGCUGGUCUUGAACUCCUGGGCUCAAGCGAUCCUCCUACCUCAGCCUCCAGAGUAGCCAGGACUACAGGCAUGUGCCACCAAGCCCAGCUAAUUUAUUUUUUAUUUUUCAUUUUUGAGAGGAGUCUUGCUCUGUCUCCCAGGCUGGAGUGCAAUGGCACGAUCUCAGCUCACUGCAACUUCUGCCUCCUGGGUUCUAGUGAUCAUCCUGCCUCAGCCUCCCGAGGAGCUGGGAUUACAGGCCCAUGCCACCAUGCCCAGCUGACUUUUGUAUUUUUAGUAGACAUAACGUUUCGCCAUGUUGGCCAGGCUGGUCUCGAACUCCUGACCUCAAGUGAUCCACCCACUUCGGCCUCCCAGAAUGCUGGAUUACAGGCAUGAGCCACCAUGCCAGGCCAGUAGUUUUUGUUUUUGUUUUUGUUUUGUUUUGAGACAGAGUCUCGCUAUGUCUCCCAGGCUGGAGUGCAGUGGCGCGAUCUCGGCUCACUGUAAGCUCUGCCUUCUGGGUUCACGCCAUUCUCCUGCCUCACCCUCCCGAGUAGCUGGGACUAUAGGCGCCUGCCACCACGCCCAGAUAAUUUUUUUUUUUUUGUAUUUUUAGUAGAGACAGGAUUUCACUGUAUUAGCCAAGAUGGUCUCGAUCUCCUGACCUCUUGAUCCACCUGCCUCAGCCUCCCAAAGUGCUAGGAUUACAGGCGUGAGCCACCACGCCCGGCCACCAAUAGUUUUAUUACAUGGCAGAAGUAAGGAGGACAGCUGGGAGUAUUCUCGAAAGCAGUGUCUCUCUGAGGGAAAGUGACAGAAGGGUUUUAUGCGGUGAUGGAGAGGGGAGAUGGUGCGUCAUUCCACAUAGAGGAGGGGUCUCCAUGGCACAGACUCAGUAAGUAAUCAUGCCAGCACCUAGGUCACAUGCGAUGGUCACAAGCUAUAGCUCCUCCCAGGGUGGAGACGUGAGCAUGACAAUCAAGCAAGUUCAUUCGGGCUCAGGUCUGUAAUCUCAGCACUUUGGGAAGCCAAGGAGGGUGGAUCACUUGAGGUCAGGAGUUCCAGACGAGCCUGGCCAACAUGGUGAAACCCUGUCUCUACUAAAAAUACAAAAAUUAGCUGGGUGUGGUGGCGUGCACCUGUAGUCUCAGCUCCUUGGGAGGCUGAGGCAGGAGAAUCGCUUGAACCCAGGGGGCGGAGGUUGCAGUGAGCCGAGAUCACACCCCUGCAUUCCAGCCUGAGCAACAGAGUGAGACUCCAUCUCAAAAACAAAAACAAAAACAAAAAAUGAUGUAACAUAUAUAUAUAUAAAGAUAGAGUUAAGGCACAAAGAGGUUUCUAAUCAAAUUGAUGGGCUUUUUCCACAUCAACAACCAAUUCUCCAAUUCUCCACACACCAACUGGGUGUCCAGCAAUGCAACGUAAUGCAAUUCUGAUGCUGCCCGGGGUUAGCCUCAAACCCCACAGAUGAAGGGCUUCGUCCCACAAGACUGCCCCACUUCAGGUGCCAAUCCCAAGUCUGGGGCAUCCAUACUUCUGACUGACCAGACAUAAAUUGGGGGUUCCCACAAGCCCCUCAUUAGGUUCAGUAAUUUGCUAGAACAGCUCAUAGAACUCAGGAAAACGCUGCACUUAAUAUUACUGGUAAAGACAGGGGAGCGGGGGCUUGGAGCUUCCAUGACCCCUCCAGGUGUGUUGCUCUCCCAGCACCUGGAUGUGUUCACCAACCCAGAAGCUCAUGAAACUCAUUGUUCAAAAAUGUAUUUUAGCCAGGCAUGGUGGCUCACGCCUGUAAUCCCAGAAGUUUGGGAGACCGAGGCAGGUGGAUCAACUGAGGUCAGGAGUUCGAGACCAGCCUGGCCAAUAUGGUGAAACCCCGUCUCUAUUAAAAAUACAAAAUUAGCUGGGCAUGAUGGCCUGUACCGGUAAUCCCAGCUACUCAAGAGGCUGAGGCAGGAGAAUCUCUUGAACCUGGGAGGCAGAUGUUGCAGCGAGCCGAGAUCGUGCCAUUGCACUCCAGCCUGGGCAACAAGAGCAAAACUCCGUCUCAAAAUAAAUAAAUAAAUGAACAAACAAAACUAUAAAGUGCAGAUAAAUGAGAAGACACAGCCAAUCAAACUAGUGACCGACCACCCAAAAACAAGUGUAACGUAAUAUUUUCAUAGAUAUCUUUCCAUUACAUUUUCUAUGCAUAUGUGUUUUAUAAAAUUAGAAUUUUCCUUUACAUACUAUUCUUAAUUUUUUCUUUCUUAAAAAUUAUAUCUUUAGAGGCAGGGUCUUGCUCCGUUGUCCAGGCUGGCAUGAAGUGGCACAAUCAUAGCUUACUGCAGUCUUGAACUUCUGACUCAAGUGAUCCUCUCACCUCAGUCUCCAAAGUAGCUGGGAUUACAGGCAUGAGCCACCAUACCCCACUAAUUUGCCUUUUUUUUUUUUGGUAGAGGCAGGGUCUUGCUAUGUUGGUCAGGCUGGUCUCAGACACCUGGCCUCAAGUGAUCCUCCUGCCUCAGCCUCCCAGGGUGCUGGGAUUCUAGGUAUGAGCCACUACACUUGUUUUUGUUUUUGUUUUUGUUUUUGUUUUUGUUUUUUGAGACGGAGUUUUGCUCUUGUUGCCCAGGCUGGAGUGCAACAGCGUGAUCUUGGCUCACCCCAACCCCAGCCUCCCGGGUUCAAGUGAUUCUCCUCCUUCAGCCUACCAAGUAGCUGGGAUUACAGGCAUGUGCUGCCACGCCUGGCUAAUUUUGUAUUUUUAAUACAGACGGGGGUUUCUCCAUGUCGGUCAGACUGGUCUCGAACUCCUGACCUCAAGUGAUCCACCCGCCUUGGCCUCCCAAAAUGCUGGGAUUACAGGCAUGAGCCACCACAUCUGGCCCAGUUUUUUGUUUUUUGUUUUUUUUUACUUAAUAAAUCAUGACCAUCUUUUUAUGUUCUCAUCCCUUUUUUUUUUAGACAGAGUCCUGCUGUGUCAUUCAGGCUGGAGUGCAUGGCACCAUCUCGGCUCACUGGAACCUCCACCUCCUGGGCUUAAGUGAUUCUCCUGCCUCAGCCUCCCAAGUAGCUGAGACUACAAGCACGCACUACCAUGCCCAGCUAAUUUUUUUUUUUUUUUUGAGGCGGAGUGUCGCUCUCUCGCCCAGGCUGGAUGGAGUGCAGUGGCACAAUCUCAGCUCACUGCAAGCUCUGCCUCCCGGGUUCAUGCCAUUCUUCUGCCUCAGCCUCCCGAGUAGCUGGGACUACAGGCACCCGUCACCACGCCCGGUUAAUUUUUUGUGUUUUUAGUAGAGAUGGGGUUUCACCGUUUUAACCAGGAUGGUCUCGAUCUCCUGACCUCAUGAUCCGCCCACCUCGGCCUCCCAAAGUGCUGGGAUUACAGGUGUGAGCCACUGCACCCGGCCUAAUUUUUGUAUUUUUAGUAGAGAUGGGGUUUCACCGUGCUGGCCAGGCUGGUCUCAAACUCCUGACCUGAAAUGAUCUACCCGCCUUGGCCUCCCAAAGGGCUGGGAUUACAGGCAUGAGCCAUUGAACCUGGCCUAUGUCUUUACAUCCUUUUAAAGUAAUUGUUUGGAAUUGGAUUGUGGAGUUGUGUCAUCAACAUUAAAGCUAAUUUUCUGUUUGGGAGCACUUGGGCUAUUUUCAUCCCUUGGUUCCCACAAAUAAUAUUAUUUAUUUAUUUUAUUUACUUAUUUUUAUUUUAUUUUUUGAGACAAGGUCUGGUUUUAUUGCCCAGGCUGAAGUGCAGUGUUGUGAUCUCAGUUCACUGCAACCUCUGCCUCCCAGGCUCAAACGAUCCUCCCACCUCAGCCUCCUGAGUAGCUGGUACUACAGGCACACCACCAUACCUGGCUAAUGUUUUAAAAAAUUUUUGUAGCAGUGUGGUUUUGCCAUUCUGCCCAGGCUGGUCUUGAACUUGUGAACUCAAACAAUCUGUCCACCUCAGCCUCCCAGUGUGCUGGGAUUACAGGUGUGAGCCACCUCACCCGCCUUUGUUUAUUUUUCAUACAGGGUCUCUCUGUCACUCAGGGUGGAGGACAGGGUGCAAUCAUGGCUCACUGCAGCCUGGAACACCUGGGAUCAAGCAAUUCUCCCUCCUCAGCCUCCUGAGUAGCUGGGACUACAGGUGUCAGUCACUACACCCAGCUAUUUUUUUUUUUUUCACAGAGACAUGGUCUCGCUAUGUUGUCCAGGCUUACAAAUAAUAUCAUUAUGAGGGGUUUUUCUUAGCUAAAUCUUUGCAUGCACAUUUGUUUUCCUCAUAUAAAUUUCUUUCUCUUUUCUUUUCUUUUCUUUUUUUUUUUUUUUUGAGAUGGCGUUUUGCUCUUGUUGCCCAGGCUGGAGUGCAACGGUGUGAUCUCAGUUCGCCGAAACCUCCGCCUCCCAGAUUCAAGCGAUUCUCCUGCCUCAGCCUCCCGGGUUGCUAGGAUUACAAGCAUGCACCACCACGGCCGGCUAAUUUUGUAUUUGUAGUAGAGACUGGGUUUCUCCAUGUUGGUCAGGCUGGUCUUGAACUCCUGACCUCAGGUGAUCCACCCGCCUUGGCCUUCCAAAGUGCUGGGAUUAUAGGUGUGAGCCACCAAGACUGGCCUCCUCAUAUGAAUUUCUAAAGGUAGAAUUGAUGGAUUCACAUGGCAUAUUUUAUUUUAUUUUAUUUUGAGACAGAGUCUCGCACUGUCACCUGGCCUGGAGUGCAGUGGCGUGAUCUUGGCUCACUGCAACCUUCACCUCCCGGGUUCACUGGAUUCUCCUGUCUCAGCCUCCCGAGUAGCUGGGAUUACAGGCGCAUGCCACCAUGUCCGGCUAAUUUUUUUUGUAUUUUUAGUAGAGACGGGAUUUCACUGUGUUUGCCAGACUGGUCUCGAACUCCUGACCUCACGUGAUCCACCCGCCUUGGCCCCCCAAAGUUUUGGGAUUACAGGCGUAAGCCACCGCGCCCGGCCUCAGAUGGCACAUUUUAAGGCUUUGGAUAUGAAUUGCCAAAAUCUCUCCUGAUUUCCCUCUUUCCUUACCCCAGACAGCCAAUGAAACUUCUGUUUAUCUACAUCCUCACUAACACUGGAUGUUAAAUAUGGGUUUAAAAAAUCUCUGCAAAUUGCUUCAGCAUGAUAUUCUUUUUUUUUUUUGAGAUAGAGUUUCCAUUGCCCAGGCCACGGGGUGCAGUGGCACAAUCUCAGCUCAUUGCAGCCUCUGCCUCCCGCAUUCAAGCGAUUCUCCUGCUUCAGCCUCCUGAGGAGCUGGGAUCGCAGGUGCGGGCCACCACGCCUCAUUAAUUUUUGUAUUUUUAGUAGACACGAGGUUUCACCAUGUUGGCCAGGCUGUUCUCAAACUCUGACCUCAAAUGAUCUGCCUGCCUUUGCCUCCCAAAUUGCUGGGAUUACAAGGCAUGUGCCACAGCACCCAGCCAGCAUGAUAUUCUUAAUGUAAUAAAAUGUCUUCUAUCUGAAAAAAACAUAAAAAGCCUUUAUUUAAAGGAUGAACUAAAAUCAAAUAGGUUAAAACUAAUCUUCCUUUAAGUAGAUCUAUGCAGCAAAAAUUAUUAAAAUGGCCAGGUGCGGUGGCUCACGCCUGUAAUCCCAGCAAGUUGAGAGGCUGAGGUGAAAGAAUCGCUGGAGCUCAGGAAUUCGAGACCAGCCUGGGCAACAUGGUGAA
rnacentral:lncRNA from 10 species